rnacentral:rRNA from 1 species
AUUGAACGCUGGCGGCAGGCUUAACACAUGCAAGUCGAGCGGGGUGAUGGUGCUUGCACUAUCACUUAGCGGCGGACGGGUGAGUAAUGCUUAGGAAUCUGCCUAUUAGUGGGGGACAACAUCUCGAAAGGGAUGCUAAUACCGCAUACGUCCUACGGGGGAAAGCAGGGGAUCACUUGUGACCUUGCGCUAAUAGAUGAGCCUAAGUCGGAUUAGCUAGUUGGUGGGGUAAAGGCCUACCAAGGCGACGAUCUGUAGCGGGUCUGAGAGGAUGAUCCGCCACACUGGGACUGAGAAACGGCCCAGACUCCUACGGGAGGCAGCAGUGGGGAAUAUUGGACAAUGGGGGGAACCCUGAUCCAGCCAUGCCGCGUGUGUGAAGAAGGCCUUAUGGUUGUAAAGCACUUUAAGCGAGGAGGAGGCUCUUUUGGUUAAUACCCAAGAUGAGUGGACGUUACUCGCAGAAUAAGCACCGGCUAACUUUGUGCCAGCAGCCGCCGUAA